UUUAGUUAUGACUCUAGGAAACUUGAUUUUAUUUCAACUUUUUUAUUUCGAUUCAUCCCUACAAAGAUAGCUAAACAUUAUGUCAUAAUAGUUUAAUUACAUUAUAAAUAAAAACAAAAAAGUAAGAAAUAUCAAACAUGCCCAUGUUUGAGCCCCAUUAUUUAUAAAAACAAAUUUUAGAAUAGUGAUUAUUUUAGAAUUUGUGUUGUUGGAAAAAAAAAAUGUGUAACAUUAUUUAUUAAAAGAAUGUGUUAUUGAAAAUGAGUUUGAAGAAAAAAUGCAUUAUGGAAAGGAAAAUACCAUUUGUAUACUCCAAACUGCACAUCAUGUUUGACACUUGCUUUGAUGUAAAAAUAAUAAUAAUAUAACAAUGAAUUAAGCUUAGUGUACUACUACUUUGACAGCUCACUCACACGAGUGAGUCCCACUUGUGUGAUGUGUGAGGACAUAAAAGCAGAUGUACUUGUAGCGUAAUUGAAAAAAAUAAUAAUAAGCAGAGGAAAAACUAUUAUUUUCAAAAUUGUCAAACUUGAUGUACACCAAGCAUAAUUGAGACAUCGAAAUGGGAUAAAAUCUUUCGUGGGACAAUCGCACUAUGUAAAAGUGCGAUCACCCUAUCAUGGUGCGCCAUCUUGUCAAGUGCCCCCCCCCCCCUUCUCCAU
rnacentral:lncRNA from 1 species